rnacentral:rRNA from 1 species
UACGGGGGGGGCAAGCGUUGUUCGGAAUUACUGGGCGUAAAGGGCUCGUAGGCGGCCAACUAAGUCGAACGUGAAAUCCCCGAGCUCAACUCGGGAACUGCGUCCGAUACUGGCGGGCUUGAAUCCGGGAGAGGGAUGCGGAAUUCCAGGUGUAGCGGUGAAAUGCGUAGAUAUCUGGAGGAACACCGGUGGCGAAGGCGGCAUCCUGGACCGGCAUUGACGCUGAGGCGCGAAAGCUAGGGGAGCAAACGGG